UACGGGGGGAGCAAGCGUUGUUCGGAUUUACUGGGCGUAAAGGGCGUGUAGGCGGCCACCGAAGGUCGGUUGGGAAAUCUCCGGGCUUAACCCGGAAAGGUCAACCGAUACUGCGGGGCUAGAGUGCAGAAGGGGCAACUGGAAUUCUCGGUGUAGCGGUGAAAUGCGUAGAUAUCGAGAGGAACACCUGCGGCGAAGGCGGGUUGCUGGGCUGACACUGACGCUGAGACGCGAAAGCGUGGGGAGCGAACAGG
rnacentral:rRNA from 1 species